GGGCGAAAGCCUGACGGAGCAACGCCGCGUGAGUGAUGAAGGUCUUCGGAUCGUAAAACUCUGUUAUUAGGGAAGAACAUAUGUGUAAGUAACUGUGCACAUCUUGACGGUACCUAAUCAGAAAGCCACGGCUAACUACGUGCCAGCAGCCGCGGUAAUACGUAGGUGGCAAGCGUUAUCCGGAAUUAUUGGGCGUAAAGCGCGCGUAGGCGGUUUUUUAAGUCUGAUGUGAAAGCCCACGGCUCAAUCGUGGAGGGUCAUUGGAAACUGGAAAACUUGAGUGCAGAAGAGGAAAGUGGAAUUCCAUGUGUAGCGGUGAAAUGCGCAGAGAUAUGGAGGAACACC
rnacentral:rRNA from 1 species